rnacentral:rRNA from 1 species
GAUGAACGCUGGCGGCGUGCCUAAUACAUGCAAGUCGAACGCUUCACUUCGGUGAAGAGUGGCGCACGGGUGCGUAAUACAUAAGUAACCUGGCAUCUACAGGGGGAUAACUGAUGGAAACGUCAGCUAAGACCGCAUAGGUGUAGAGAUCGCAUGAACUCUAUAUGAAAAGUGCUACGGGACUGGUAGAUGAUGGACUUAUGGCGCAUUAGCUUGUUGGUAGGGUAACGGCCUACCAAGGCGACGAUGCGUAGCCGACCUGAGAGGGUGACCGGCCACACUGGGACUGAGACACGGCCCAGACUCCUACGGGAGGCAGCAGUAGGGAAUUUUCGGCAAUGGGGGAAACCCUGACCGAGCAACGCCGCGUGAAGGAAGAAGUAAUUCGUUAUGUAAACUUCUGUCAUAGAGGAAGAACGGUGGAUAUAGGGAAUGAUAUCCAAGUGACGGUACUCUAUAAGAAAGCCACGGCUAACUACGUG